rnacentral:rRNA from 1 species
AUUGAACGCUGGCGGCAGGCUUAACACAUGCAAGUCGAGCGGAGAGAGGUAGCUUGCUAUUGAUCUUAGCGGCGGACGGGUGAGUAAUGCUUAGGAAUCUGCCUAUUAGUGGGGGACAACAUUUCGAAAGGAAUGCUAAUACCGCAUACGUCCUACGGGAGAAAGCAGGGGAUCUUCGGACCUUGCGCUAAUAGAUGAGCCUAAGUCGGAUUAGCUAGUUGGUGGGGUAAAGGCCUACCAAGGCGACGAUCUGUAGCGGGGCUGAGAGGAUGAUCCGCCACACUGGGGCUGAGACACGGCCCAGACUCCUACGGGAGGCAGCAGUGGGGAAUAUUGGACAAUGGGCGGAAGCCUGAUCCAGCCAUGCCGCGUGUGUGAAGAAGGCCUUAUGGUUGUAAAGCACUUUAAGCGAGGAGGAGGCUACUUUAGUUAAUACCUAGAGAUAGUGGACGUUACUCGCAGAAUAAGCACCGGCUAACUCUGUGCCAGCAGCCGCCGUAACAC